UCUCUCUCUCUCUUUCUCUAUUUCUCUGUUUCAAGUGUUUAUGUUGAGAAUUUAGUAUGGCUAUGAAGACUCUCCAAACAAGCACUGGUCUGAGGAAUGAGCUUGUUGCCUACUCCAUGGUGAUGAGCACAAGGAACCAGCAAUGGGUAGAUGGGAAAACCUUAAUCAAAUAACAGUUUUGGAAGGACUUCACAUUGAGACUUUCUCUCUUUAUAGGUUGUCAACCCUGAGUAAAUGACAAAAAUUGUAUUUCUAGAAGAAUCAGAGGACAAGAGAAACAAUGAGGAAUACAAGAACUACAUUUUAGAGGAAAUAAACCUUUCCAGAGGUGAAUGAGG
rnacentral:lncRNA from 1 species